rnacentral:rRNA from 1 species
UUAAAUUGAAGAGUUUGAUCAUGGCUCAGAUUGAACGCUGGCGGCAGGCCUAACACAUGCAAGUCGAACGGUAACAGGAAACAGCUUGCUGUUUCGCUGACGAGUGGCGGACGGGUGAGUAAUGUCUGGGAAACUGCCUGAUGGAGGGGGAUAACUACUGGAAACGGUAGCUAAUACCGCAUAAUGUCGCAAGACUAAAGAGGGGGACCUUCGGGCCUCUUGCCAUCGGAUGUGCCCAGAUGGGAUUAGCUAGUAGGUGGGGUAACGGCUCACCUAGGCGACGAUCCCUAGCUGGUCUGAGAGGAUGACCAGCCACACUGGAACUGAGACACGGUCCAGACUCCUACGGGAGGCAGCAGUGGGGAAUAUUGCACAAUGGGCGCAAGCCUGAUGCAGCCAUGCCGCGUGUAUGAAGAAGGCCUUCGGGUUGUAAAGUACUUUCAGCGGGGAGGAAGGGAGUAAAGUUAAUACCUUUACUCAUUGACGUUACCCGCAG